rnacentral:rRNA from 1 species
AGAGUUUGAUCCUGGCUCAGGAUGAACGCUAGCUACAGGCUUAACACAUGCAAGUCGAGGGGAAACGAUAUUGGAAGCUUGCUUCCGAUAGGCGUCGACCGGCGCACGGGUGAGUAACGCGUAUCCAACCUGCCCAUCACUUGGGAAUAACCUUGCGAAAGUAAGACUAAUACCCAAUGAUAUCCCACGAAGGCAUCCGAAUGGGAUUAAAGAUUUAUCGGUGAUGGAUGGGGAUGCGUCUGAUUAGCUUGUUGGCGGGGUAACGGCCCACCAAGGCGACGAUCAGUAGGGGUUCUGAGAGGAAGGUCCCCCACAUUGGAACUGAGACACGGUCCAAACUCCUACGGGAGGCAGCAGUGAGGAAUAUUGGUCAAUGGGCGAGAGCCUGAACCAGCCAAGUAGCGUGCAGGAUGACGGCCCUAUGGGUUGUAAACUGCUUUUAUAAGGGAAUAAAGUGAGUCUCGUGAGACUUUUUGCAUGUACCUUAUGAAUAAGGACCGGCUAAUUCCGUGCCAGCAGCCGCGGUAAUACGGAAGGUCCGGGCGUUAUCCGGAUUUAUUGGGUUUAAAGGGAGCGUAGGCCGGAGAUUAAGCGUGUUGUGAAAUGUAGACGCUCAACGUCUGCACUGCAGCGCGAACUGGUUUCCUUGAGUACGCACAAAGUGGGCGGAAUUCGUGGUGUAGCGGUGAAAUGCUUAGAUAUCACGAAGAACUCCGAUUGCGAAGGCAGCUCACUGGAGCGCAACUGACGCUGAAGCUCGAAAGUGCGGGUAUCGAACAGGAUUAGAUACCCUGGUAGUCCGCACGGUAAACGAUGGAUGCCCGCUGUUGGUCUGAAUAGGUCAGCGGCCAAGCGAAAGCAUUAAGCAUCCCACCUGGGGAGUACGCCGGCAACGGUGAAACUCAAAGGAAUUGAC